GUGAAUCAUCAAAUCUUUGAACGCAAAUUGCGCUUCCUGGCAUCCCGGGAAGUAUGCCUGUUUGAGGGUCAGUAUUAAUAACAAACUGGUUUAGUUACAAAUUGUGACGUUUCUGGAGCUUGGGCUAUCUUAACAUUUUUGGAUAAGAGGCUUAAAAUUGACCUUUUUUGCGCAUUUUUAAACGUACAUACUUUUUUUUUAUUCGUCUAUUCUUAAUGCCAACAUCUUAUUAGAUGCGAUCACAUCGUGUGGUC
rnacentral:misc_RNA from 1 species